UUUAUCAUUAUGAGAUGUAUUGAAUAUUAAAAUAUAAUAUUGUUUAUUAUAAUAAAAAAGUUUAAUUGCUGUGUGACAAAAACCAUCUGCAAACAUUGUAAAUCCAUGUGUAAAUUAUCAAAAUUUAUUCAAUGUUGUAUGUACAGCACACAUUUUACAAACUGUGAAGUUCAAAAUGUAUUACAAAGUAAAAACACCCUGAAAAGGCUGAUUCAGGUAAAGAACUGGAAAGAAAGUAUAAUGUAGGACUUGUUUCUUUUUUCAGUACAUUAUUUUGCUGAUUUUUCUGUGUUUCUGACCAUUUCUUACAAGGUUUGGAUGAAAUAAGUUAAAAAUGAAACCUCAAUUCAACAUUUAAAAGAUAAUGUUACAGCAUGUUUCUUUCCUAAAUGAAAGAAAAACUAGGAUUAACAUAAUCAGUCUGGUAGUAUUGAUUAAUACAACAGGUGUAGUCAGAGCUAUCAGGCACAGUAAAAUUAGAAAGAAUAAUCAGCUUUUCAGAGAUUCUGAGAAGUAACCCAAACAUUGCAGGAUUUCAAAUGUCCACUUUUAGUAAUGAAGCAAACACAAAUCAUCAUAUAUACUUGAGAAAAUCAUUGCAGAUGCAUGAUGUGUCCCAUGGAAACUGACAACAUAUAAAGGCACAUGAGAAAGAAAAUGGCCCUUGUGAAGCAAUCCUGCAACCAUCUUUCACCUGAGACCACUUUAGUAUCACUUCACUCCCAUAACAGGUUGUCAAUUAUGACUCCAAUGAAGAGAUUCAGAGUGAAAAAUGAACCGAAGAUGAUGAAAAAGACAAAGUAAAGUUUCACUCUCUGGUUCUGUAAGGUGCACAUUUUGGGAUCACACAGAACUUGUUUUGGAAAGAAGGAAGCCAUGGUUGAGCUAGGAGCUUGAUUCAAGAGUGUGGCAAAGACUAGAAGAGGCCGUUUCCUGGGCCAAGAGUUUUACUGGCCAUGGUUCUUUGCUUUACAAAUAUCAGCUGUGGGUACAUAGGAGCUGUUUACUCUGAUUCCAUUGGCAUCUACACAAUGAUAGAACUUCCCAGCAAACAUCUGAACUCCCAUG